rnacentral:rRNA from 1 species
GACGAACGCUGGCGGCGUGCUUAACACAUGCAAGUUGAGCGAUGAAAUCCCUUCGGGGACGAAUUAGCGGAGGACGGGUGAGUAACACGUGGGUAACCUGUCUCACAGAGGGGGAUCGCCUCCCGAAAGGGAGUUUAAUACCGAAUAACAUUAGUUUUUCGCAUGGAGAACUAAUUAAAGAGGUAAUACGCUUUAAGAUGGACACGCGGCCCAUUAGCUAGUUGGUGAGGUAACGGCUAACCAAGGCGACGAUGCGUAGCCGGCCUGAGAGGGUGAUCGGCCACAUUGGAACUGAGACACGGUCCAGACUGCUACGGGAGGCAGCAGUGGGGAAUAUUGGACAAUGGGCGAAAGCCUGAUGCAGCAACGCCGCGUGAGUGAUGAAGGCCUUCGGGUUGUAAACUUCUGUCUUUUGGGAAGAUAAUGACGGUACCAAAAGAGGAAGCCACGGCUAACUACGUGCCAGCCGCCGCCGUAA